CUGCAUGAGGUAAUAUGUCUGCCCCUCAUUCCUGUGGGAGCAGGAGUGCAUCCAUAACAUGCUACAUUAAAAAAAAAAGGAGUUCUCAGGGCUGCCAACCUUACAGUAGAGAUUGAGUAGUAGUAUAUUUCUCCUAUAUAA